rnacentral:rRNA from 1 species
AACGAACGCUGGCGACAGGCUUAACACAUGCAAGUCGAGCGCCCCACAAGGGGAGCGGCAGACGGGUGAGUAACACGUGGGAAUCUACCAUCCCUGCGGAACAACUCCGGGAAACUGGAGCUAAUACCGCAUACGCCCUACGGGGGAAAGAUUUAUCGGGGAUGGAUGAGCCCGCGUUGGAUUAGCUAGUUGGUGGGGUAAAGGCCUACCAAGGCGACGAUCCAUAGCUGGUCUGAGAGGAUGAUCAGCCACAUUGGGACUGAGACACGGCCCAAACUCCUGCGGGAGGCAGCAGUGGGGAAUAUUGGACAAUGGGCGCAAGCCUGAUCCAGCCAUGCCGCGUGAGUGAUGAAGGCCUUAGGGUUGUAAAGCUCUUUCACCGAUGAAGAUAAUGACGGUAGUCGGAGAAGAAGCCCCGGCUAACUUCGUGCCAGCAGCCGCCGUAACAC